rnacentral:tRNA from 1 species
UUAUCUUUGGUGUAUUUGCAUACUAAAUUUUGGUUUUAGUGGUCUCAUGAUAAU